UCAUGUCCCAUGCUUCUAUGCUACAUAACACUGCAAACUGAGAAGUAAAGAAGCGCAAGCCUUCCUUUCUCACCAGGCUGAGGGUCUCUUGUCCACCUCAGCACUGACUGCAGAACCCCACUACCCACAGCCUGCUCCCUGGCUCAGUGCUCCUGACGCUACCCACCCUCUCGAGGAUCCACCUCAGACAGAACUCCCUGGAUUCUCCCACUGUGGGCUCAGAGAGCAAACUGACUGUGGCCUGGAGCCCCUCCCUCCCAUGGACUUUCUCAUGGUGUCACCCCACUGUCUUUCACUGGAGGAACAAGGCCUCCCCAAGGUUCUUACCCUCUCCUUGAGUUGCAGAUACAAAGACACAUUGUACCGGCUA
rnacentral:lncRNA from 1 species